GACACUAUCAUUUUUAGUGAUCAAGGAUUUUCGUUAUUAAAGAAUUUCAUUUAAUUAGAAUCCAUGAAUUUCAUUUUAUUAAUUUCACCCGCUUGCCUUAUUCUAUUAUUUAACCUCAACUAUCUUAUUAUCCUUAUCCACACAUUUUAGCUUCUUCAUUAAGCCAAAUAUAUCCCCCUUUAUCUUACUCAUUAAGCCAAAUUUUAUCCACUUGCCUUUAGCUUUCUUAUUAAGCUAAUUUCCACUCUCUUUCCUUAACACCACCUUCCUAAUCUCUUCACCCCAUUCACGGUUGUCUCAAAGAAAAAAAAAACAAUUCAGUCCAAGUUUCCAAAUCCAGAAUAAGGUGAUUAAUGAUUUAAACCUUCAUUAAUUCUUCCAGUUUCUUUUAUAUUUUUUAGAUCCGAAAUUUUCAUUCUUAAAUUUUGAUAAUAAAUUCGUAGAUCCAACUUUUGUAAGUUCAGAGACAAGAUUUCUUCAUUUCCUACUCAUAUCAAGGUUACCUCCAUUUCCACUCUACCUAUAUUUGUUAACCUUUGAAUCAAGAACAAAAACCAAUAGCAAUUAUACACACACACACACACUUACUAUAUGUUCUAAUCUAUUACAUGUACAAUCAUUUUUUUUAGAGUAAUGAACGGAAAGAACAGUUUUUAAAGAGAAAAAGCCUAAUCUAUGCUAUUGUGAAUCUUGAACUGAAUUUGGGGGUUGUUUCUCUGUCUUGUGUGUGUUCUGACUGAAUUUGGGAGAGGGCGAGGAGCAACCGGCGGCUGCUCAGCGUCGGCAACGGCGGUGGCGAGACGGCAGGGCCGUCUUUCUUCAUUUUCUGCCAAAAUCGAGAGAGAACAGAGCAGAGAGUGAGAGAGCAGAGCAGAGAGCCCGAGAGAAGAGCAGAGAGCGAGAGAGCAGAGCAGAAAGAGAAGAGAGUGAGGGAGCAGAGAAGAGAGCGAGGGAGCAGAGCAAAGAGAGAAGAGAGCGAGAGAACAGAGCAGAGAGAGAAGAUAGUAAAUAGUGAGAGAGCAGAGCAGAGAGCGAGAGAGAGAGAGAGAGAGAGAGAGUUUGUGGUGUGUGCGUGUGUUUGUGCGUGUUCAUGUGUGUGUGUGUGUGUGUGUGUGUGUGUGUGUGUUUUAAAUGAAGAAGAAGGAUUUUGGGCCUUGCCCUAAUUAAUUUGGGCCAAAAAUGGGCUGCCAUUUUUUUAAAAAAAGAAAGUGGGUUAAUUUUAAUCAUGUUUUGGGCCUUUGUUCUAAGUUAAAGAAAUGGGCUGCUAUUUAUUUAUUCGUUAAAUUUUGAAAAACCCGGCUAAGUGAAUUAUAGGAUGUUAAGCACUUUACCAUGGCUUAAGAUUAUAGACUUCUUAUAGGCUUUUUGGAUCGUGAGGACUAGGACGACUAUUCCGGUUCAAAGAUUAGAUAAACGACAGGCUUUGCCUAAUCAGGUGGGCUUAUUUUUCAAAUGUAUGUUUGAGUUAUUAAGCUCUAAAUGUUUCAUGAAUUUAAAACUGUUUAUCCAAUAAAUAUUUUUGUGCGCUCUGUUAUGUUUAAGGCUCGUAAUUCAUGGAUCGAUCGAGGUUCUCUUAUGACCUAACACGUUGUUUGAGAAUUGUGUACACUUGUUAGUUGUUUCGGUGGGUUGAUCUUCAUCGGGCACUAAUUCAUGUCAGAGGCGUUAUAAGGGUGCUUGGCUGGAUGUGUUCAGGAGCAUGUAUCAUGUAAGACCUGCCUAGGUAGCGUCCCGAGGUCAAUUAAACUUGUCUGAAUUACGUCCUCAGGGCAAGUGUUAUGGGAGAAAGCGAUACGUCGGUGGCUAAAAGGUCCGGUAUCACAACGAGUAACUAAACAGAGUGUGACAAUGGCGCGCUAAUAAAUGAAAUGUUUUAACAUGCUUAGAAGUUCUUUUACUUUAAAACCUUUUAAGUUAUGUCAUGAAUGAUUGGAUAAACUGCUCUUACGAAUUGUGAAAUGUUUUAAAAGUUGCAGUCCACUAAGUACAUUAGUACUUAGCCCAAAUAUUUUCAAAUGUUUUUCAGGUUGAUGGCUGGUGUUGACGUGGAGAGUUGAGGCUAGGGUUCAACUCCGUGUUUUGACUUCCGAUGUAGUAUUAACCUUUAAUUGUCUUUCGUUUCCUUGACUUAAGACCUUUAUGUUAUGACUCUAUUCGAUAUCUUUUGUUGAGCCUAGACUUUUGACUCUCAAGUAUUUUGAUUAAUGAAUGUUGGUUAUCUGAAGCAUGAAACUAAACUUGUGAUC
rnacentral:lncRNA from 1 species